rnacentral:rRNA from 1 species
UACGUAGGGGGCAAGCGUUGUCCGGAUUUACUGGGCGUAAAGAGCGUGUAGGCGGCCAAACAGGUCCGUUGUGAAAACUGGAGGCUUAACCUCCAGACGUCGACGGAAACCGUGUGGCUAGAGUCUGGAAGAGGAGAGUGGAAUUCCUGGUGUAGCGGUGAAAUGCGCAGAUAUCAGGAAGAACACCAAUGGCGAAGGCAGCUCUCUGGGACGGUACUGACGCUGAGACGCGAAAGCGUGGGGAGCGAACAGG